rnacentral:rRNA from 1 species
GGGUAGCAAUACCCUAGCGGCGAACGGGUGAGGAAUGCUUGGGAAUCUGCCUCGUAGUGGGGGAUAACGUUCCGAAAGGAACGCUAAUACCGCAUACGUCCUACGGGAGAAAGGGGGGGAUCUUCGGACCUCUCGCUAUGAGAUGAGCCCAAGCGGGAUUAGCUAGUUGGUGAGGUAAUGGCUCACCAAGGCGACGAUCCCUAGCUGGUCUGAGAGGAUGAUCAGCCACACUGGAACUGAGACACGGUCCAGACUCCUACGGGAGGCAGCAGUGGGGAAUAUUGGACAAUGGGCGAAAGCCUGAUCCAGCCAUGCCGCGUGUGUGAAGAAGGCCUUCGGGUUGUAAAGCACUUUAAGCGAGGAGGAAGGUUCGUUACUUAAUACGUAACGGAAUUGACGUUACUCGCAGAAUAAGCACCGGCUAACUCUGUGCCAGCAGCCGCGGUAAUACAGAGGGUGCAAGCGUUAAUCGGAAUUACUGGGCGUAAAGCGCGCGUAGGCGGUUGCGUAAGUUGGAGGUGAAAUCCCCGGGCUCAACCUGGGCAUUGCCUUCAAAACUGCGCAGCUAGAGUAUUGGAGAGGAAGGUAGAAUUCCAGGUGUAGCGGUGAAAUGCGUAGAGAUCUGGAGGAAUACCGAUGGCGAAGGCAGCCUUCUGGCCAAAUACUGACGCUGAGGUGCGAAAGCAUGGGGAGCAAACAGGAUUAGAUACCCUGGUAGUCCAUGCCGUAAACGAUGUCAACUAGGUGUUGGGGAACUUGAUUCCUUAGUGCCGCAGCUAACGCAUUAAGUUGACCGCCUGGGGAGUACGGUCGCAAGACUAAAACUCAAA